GAUGAACGCUGGCGGCGUGCCUAAUACAUGCAAGUCGAGCGAACAGACGAGGAGCUUGCUCCCCUGACGUUAGCGGCGGACGGGUGAGUAACACGUGGAUAACCUACCUAUAAGACUGGGAUAACUUCGGGAAACCGGAGCUAAUACUGGAUAAUAUAUUGAACCGCAUGGUUCAAUAGUGAAAGACGGUUUUGCUGUCACUUAUAGAUGGAUCCGCGCCGCAUUAGCUAGUUGGUAAGGUAACGGCUUACCAAGGCAACGAUGCGUAGCCGACCUGAGAGGGUGAUCAGCCACACUGGAACUGAGACACGGUCCAGACUCCUACGGGAGGCAGCAGUGGGGAAUCUUCCGCAAUGGGCGAAAGCCUGACGGAGCAACGCCGCGUGAGUGAUGAAGGUCUUCGGAUCGUAAAACUCUGUUAUUGGGGAAGAACAAAUGUGUAAGUAACUAUGCACGUCUUGACGGUACCUAAUCAGAAAGCCACGGCUAACUACGUG
rnacentral:rRNA from 1 species